UCAUCAUCAUGUUCUUCGUCGCAUGUAAACUUUUUAAUAUACAUACCAGACUUGAAAACCUAAAAUAUAGCAUAUAACCAGAGAGAAUCGACAAUUUAGUGAUAGAACAUCAUCUUUUGAUCGAAUCUGACAUGAUGGAAAGACGACUCUUAAUUAAUAUCUUGUCUAUGCCAAGUCUUCAAACCAUCAUAUUGAAUUAUUGAUGCUAUCCUGCACCAUAGAGUUCAAGCUAAUAAAAGAGGGUGUUCUUUAAAAUUACCUUGAAUUAUCUAGAUUGGAUCAUGCACGAAUAAUGAAUAUAGACUCGAUGAAAGUGUAUUAACCUCCAUUGAUCGUAAUGAAAAACGUGGGAUUUCGUAGAAGGAGACGGAAAAUGGUCGUGUGUCUUCCUUUUUUUUUCUUUUUUUUUCGUUUUGUUUUCCGUUUUUUUUUUGUUUUUUUCUUUCUUUCCCAACCAAUCGUUUGUGAUAAUUAUGAGUUAAAAAUUAAAUUUUCCUUUUUUGAUAAGUAGAUAUUGGCAAAAAAUAUCAAAACAAUCCUACGUAUAUUCUUUAAAUCUGAUUCAUAUCUCUAAUAAAAUUUUAUUUUUUUAAUAUUUUAUGUCGAUAAUGACGGAAAAUCUAAACAAAUGUAAGAUAUAGUAGUAAAUCUAAAUCGUUAUGUUAUUAUUCCAUCUUUAUCUUAAAAUAAAAUGAAACGUUACUUAAAAUUAAUAUGUAUAAUAUUGAAUAAGACAAUUUUAAAUUAUUAAUUUUUAUGAUAUAGAUUCGCUUCUUAAAAAAUAUAUAAAUCUUCCUUUUUUUGUUGUAGAUAUUACACCGCCUCUUAAUUUUAUAUAAAUACCUGGAUUGGUAGUCACCUUUAGAUCACAACUAACCCCUGUUUUUUUUUCUUCUGUAAUUUAUUUAUGACUCGAUUUUUAUAAAAAUAUUAAUGUUGUUUACAUUACGUAUGAUUGCAUGAUGAAUUUGCAUACACAAGUAGGUUUGUAGAGAGAAAGACGUGAAAUAUUACGGCUCACAAUCGGUCUGAUUUCAAAGUAGACCACUCAGGUACGGUGGCACCGGCGAUGAUGGUUUGCGGUCGGAUUCAUUACUUGGAUGGACCGCCCCAAAAAACGUGACCAACAUCAACGGUAACGGAUGGACCGCCCCAGAAAACGUGACCAGCAUCAACGGUAACGUUAAUGGCACUCUUUGUCUUCUUUAAGAUUAGUGUAUGAUUAGGGUUUAUGUGUGAAUUGAAAGUUUUUGUUUUUUUAAUGUGGCGUUUGUAGCUUGGAUGUAGCGGUUAGGGUUGCAAAACGGUGGUGGAAGUGAAUCGUAUCCCGAACGACCGAUUGUAUAUAUAUUACUUAAGAACGGUGUCUGCGGGUACGGGUCGAGACCCACAAAACUCGAGUUGGUAAUCAACCCUCUCUUUCUCUCUGGCUUUGAUAAAGUGUCUGUCUUUCUUUUUUUCUUCUUCCUAUGUGUUUUUAUUUUAUUUUGAUGGAGUAUUUUUGUUAAUAGGUGAAAAGUAGUUUAUUAGAUAUCGCUGAAACAGAAUCUAUGAUUUCAUUUGUUCGGAAGCUCUCACUGAUGUUUUUUUUUUCUCUGCUUUAGAACGUCUAAAAAGCAAUCGUUUUGGAAUUGGUUUCACUUUGGUGAUUUGAGGAGUGUUUGAGUAAGAAGAUUGAUUCUUAAUAUUAUGUUUUUCCAUGGCAAUAGGUAUAUGCCAAUGAUGGAGCUUGGUGUGUCGAGUAACAUGUUUGAUAUCAAGAAGAACGCUUUGAAGAAGCUGUCUAAGCAACAGGUGAAAAGUUGCAUUUCAAUACUCUCUUCGUCUUUCGUUUCAUUCUCAUGCGUUCAAUCUCUUUCGUUUUAACUCACAAACUAAGUCUUCCUAUGUUCAGAGUGCUUAUCGAAUCAAGCUUUUAUCGUCGUACAAGGAAAUGGUGAGUGUGACAAUGCUAAAUCUUGUAAAUUUGGGAAAUUUAUUCUCUUGUUAUUUGGAAUCUAUAAAGAAAACUUUAGAAAAAUGCAGGUAGCCGUUGUUGUUGAGAUGGUAAAUGCAAGCAGAUCUCUGAGAUGUUAUACCAAGCUAGGUACCGAGUCACUUGUAUAGUUCUCUUGCUCUAAGGAAGAUUCAAGUGAUGCUGGAGUUUGUGGUGGCAUCCCUGUAUUUAAUUUUUGGAAUGUCUCUACAUUUGGUAAGACCCAAAAACAAAAGUUCAAUAGUUGAUUCUCAUGUGUGGUCUCUAAGGUUUGGUACUUGCCAUAUUGAUAUGAUCACAAAGAAGAUGGCUGAGGAGUUUGUGGAGAUGUUCAUACGCGAAGUAAUGAUAAAGGUACUGUCUAUUCCUAAGUCAUGCAUAUAUCUUGGACUCUAGAUCAACUUUUGAUCAUUUUCUGAAAAUUAACAGGGAUUGCUCAUAAUGGAACUUAUCUCUUUAAGCACUGAAGUUCCUCAACCCAUCUCAUAAUGAGAUAGGAGGAGAUUCUAUUACUCCUAUCUCAUUAAGUUAUUCCAUUAUUCCCGUUUUGCUUAAUAUCUCUUUGGUCUCGGUUUUUAUCAUUUUAUUGUUGGUUCAUGUCUAGGCUCUUUUUUUUGGUUUUCUAUGUUUAAUAUAGUUAAUUUGAAAUUGGCCUUCGUUUUUGCAGAUUUGGGCAGAAUUUGAAGCGGAGGAAACUGAUCGCAACUUUAGCGGCAAAAUAGGUUACGUGAGCAUGUUUCUAAAAUAUAUAUUUUGGUCUUUAACUACUCCAGGUUGGAUCCUGGAUUGGAGAAGGCGGCCUCUUUGCUGUUGUAAAUACUCUUGUCUGCGACAAACUUGAAUAAAUCAAGUUUCUUAGCUGGACCCGAGAGAGAUUUAAAGGUAUGUUUCUAUUUCCUUCUUUAGAUGGAAUUUACUCAUAUACUUGGAUUCACUUUCGACAUAUCUGAUAUCUGGAUUUCCUUUGUUUUUGGUUGUGAUUGUUGAUGGUAUAUUGACUAAGAACUAACAUUCAUAUGUGCAUGAUUAAAAAAAAAAGAAAGAAGAUCAUGAACUACACUUGGAGAACAUUGAAGCUCUUCGAGAAAUGCAUGGCUAAGAUAGAACAGUAAUUGUUUGGUACUGUACCAACUAGCGGAAGAUGUGGCAGUGAGACAGGACUGCAAGAAGUGCUUGAAUCAGGAGGAAGGUAAGGUAAUGAAGAUGGUUAACAUAAGAAGUUUGAGACAUUGAGAUAUUGGCUUGGGCUUCAAGAUGAAGAAGAGAGCGAUCGUGAGAUGGUUUGGUGAAGGAAGACGAGAAGCAUGUUUCAAAGCGGAUGUUCUUAACCGUCAUUGAGAUAGAGAGUGGUGGGUAAUAUUGGACUUCUUAUAAAAACAAUUUUAAGAAAUGUUGGCAAAAGUGUGUCAAAGUGUCCAUCUCCCAUAGACAAAAUGGUUUGUGUAAAGGUGGAGAACUUGGUUUGUUCCUGGAGGAGACAGUGAUGACUUGAUAUGUUAAGAGUUGAUAUCGGCGAACCAGAACAUAGCUUUCACGAUGGUGUAGGUGGAGCACGUUGGUGUACUGUAAAGAGACGAGCACGUUUCGUUGUGUAUUAUUUGUCAACGAUUUUUAUCUACCCGUGUAAUACGAAUGGGAAAGCAAGUACCAACCGACUAAUCGACACCAACUAAAUUUAUAUAUCUAAAGGUGAAAUUUCUAUUAACUUAUACUAUAGAAUAUCCAAAUUCAUACGAAUAUGUUCUUUCAGUUCAAUUCAGUCAUAGAUUAUUAUUUUGAUUCCUUGAUUAUCAAGAAACAAAUGACUGAAGGCGUCUGGUGCUGACAAGUUUAUUUUUACAUAUUUAUUUUAAUAUCCAGUUUAUAUAUUAUGGACCUUUGUUGCAACGUAAUGAUUAGGUUUUUGUUUGUGGAUUAUUGUUUGAUCCAUUAAAGUACAGGUUUGAUUAUUAGUUUAGCUCACUAAUCAUUAUUGUGAACAAUAAGGUCGGAUUGUUUUAUGGUUCUUGAAUUAGUUUACAUUUUUGACGUAACAUUCUCUCUAUUUCCAAAUUCAAAAUGAAAGAAUAAGAGUGUUUCUUUGAAUUUGAAAAAAUGUUAUUCAUUUUUUCAUAUUUGAAAGUGCACUUUUUAAAAUUAUAAUGAUAUUUUGACUUUUACUAUUUUGAAAAGCAUUCAAAAUACACCCUAAUUCGUUUUCAGCUUAUUGUUUGAAAAACUUAACAACAUAUAUUUUUAAUACAUAUUGUUUGUUUUUAGUAUUAUAAUGAAAAGUAAACCGUAUGUGUGCUGAAAGUUGCAGGAAUGCGGAGUCGUUUUGUGUUAAGGAUCACAAAAAUUUAUAGUUAUUAAGCACAUUUUGCACUUUUGCAACGGAGUCUCGGAAUCUCAAGUGCAAAAUGUGUGAUCCUUGCCAGCAAAAAAAUACCACAUCCUCCAAAACUCUAGACAUGUAGGGUUGAACAGAACCUGCUUGCAUAUACGUGCAGUAGUUCUCCUUAAGACACCUAAUCAAACCAAAAUAACAUAUUUAAAACAAACAUUUGAAAAUUACACAACAUAUACACAAUUACAUAUUAAUAUAUGUAGGUCAACACCUUGAGAAUACUCUAAUUUUGCGAAUCAAAUCACACAGACGAUGAUAUGACCACUACAUUUUUCUAACGAUAAGCCAAAAUUUAUAGAAGACGAAUUAAUUUUUAAUGAUUAAUGACAAAACUACCUCGAAACAAAAGAACACGUCUGGUUUAUUAUCCUGCUUCCUGAAAGAAUUUCAAAAUUCAAUUAUAACAGUUUAUAUUCUUUAAACUAAUAUUUUUCAUAGAUAAAGCAUAGAUAAAACCAAAUUCCACACAUGGGGAGAGCUUACAGAGAAGCAGGAGGUGAUCCCGAGACUCCGUUGCAAAAAUGCAAAGAAAACACUCAUCAGAUUGAAUUUAUUCCCAAGAAGCCUGUCUUUGAUGAAUGGACAAUUAUUUAAGUGUCUCAAGAGAGGAAGAACGUCAGGUCCAAGAAAGUAGCUUAGCCCAAGAGCAAAACAACUUUUGUCGAGAAUAAAGCCUAGAAAAAAACAAAUUUCACACCUCGGAAGCGCUCACAGAGGAACAUGAGAUGAUUUCGAGACUCCAUUGCAAAAGUGCAUAGACAACAUUCAUCAGAUUGAAUUUAUCCCCACGAAACCAGUUUUUAACGAGUGGUCUAUUUUUUAAGUGACUAACCCACAUAUUAAAAACAUGCUUAAACACAUCACCUUUGAACCAAACUAAGGCAAUGUGGAGAAAAAAUCAUGACACACAACAUCAACCAAAAUCCAGGUUUUUAUUGCAUUUUUUUAUGCAACUAUCAUUAUUUUAAUAAUAUAUCUAUUGUUUAAAUAUAUCAUUUUUCUCAUUUAUGUUUCUAUUAUAUAUAUUAUGAUUAAACACUAUUAAUUGUUCAUUACUAAUAAUGGUAUUAAAAUCCCUACAACCCCGCGCCGGGCGCGGGGACCGCUCCUAGUAAAACCAAAUAAACCAAACUGAACCAAAUUCAAAUUAUCCAUAAAAUAGUAUCACUAAAGAUGCUUAAUUAAUUAGCUUUUUUUUUUGGGCAAACUAUCGUUAAUAUUAAAACGAAACAGAGAGUAGAGUAUAUAAGGUUUCAAGAGUGGAUAAGUCUAGGAUCCCAAAGUAAAUUGUAGACAAAAGAGUAUAAAUCAACAAAUUCAGGUUAAAGAAACUUAAGCAACUAGAGAGGGACCAAAAUUCACUACAUGCAUAACUUAAUUUAGCAGGAAAAAAACUUGAGCUAGCUGGAUCUUGCAAGGUCUUAGAAGCAUUAGCAGAUCUAUAGCGAGUUUCAACUUUGCUUCUUCGUCUGUUGCAUAAGCAAGAACUUUGACAAGCUCAAGACAUGGCAAUUUCUCCAGGAGAUGUUUCAUUUGCUCCAACUCUCCUUUAGUUCCUAGGAAUUUGGUUAUCUCUAGGACUUUCACAGGACACGACAAUAAAAAAAAUAAUAUCCAGACAAGCACUGGCAAACAGACUCUAUUCCUUGUCCACGUCCUUUGUAGUGCAAGGGUCCCUGAAACAAGAUGAAAGAUUAGAGAGAUUGAAAAAUUAGGUGUGUAUCCUUUAGGAUAUUUUUUGAAAAUUAAUAUGAGAUUUUUUUCCAAAAAAAAAGUUUGUGGUUAUCGUCAUACUUUGAUGACUAGAGUCUCUAGAUUUGGAGAUCUUUUAAGCAGUAAUGGCACAAGUUUCCAGCAUGAUCCCAACUUAGUUGCAAUAGAUAGACGAGACAGGUUCUCAAACACGGGGAUUGCUUCACGGAAGGAAUACAAAAUCUGAAACAAAAUCAAAAUCAACUAGUCAUCAACCAAUUUCAAUCUUUGCAUGCAUCAAGAUUUUUUUUCAUACUUCUAACAAAAGUUUAAUUCUUAUAACCCAUGAAGCAAAACAAAGAUGCAUCAUCUAUAAUACAUUACAGAGAGACGAAAGAAAAAAAAGUACCUUCAAGGUUUCAUGAGAAGACAAGUCCAUGAUCUCAACAUUUCUUAACCCUUUGAUAAGAUUCGUUGGGUUGCCAUUGUGUGGAAUUUUUCUCAAAGCAAGAGUGAGCUUAACUUCGAAAAGGGCGUCAAGGUUAACAAAUGGAUGCUUAUCCGAAACAAAACCAGAGUACUUUAAGUAGACAAGACUCGGAGUAUCAAAAGUAAUGCUCCUGAAAUCAGACCUAAUAGAAUCAUUAGAGACUUCACAGUCAAUGGUAAGUCUCUGAAGGGUAGGGGAUGUCACGGUGCGACACCAUUUCCAAUGUUCCCAAUGCUCACCAACUAUUGAUAUUUCCUCAAGAACAUGGCAAGCAGAAACAAGUGCUUCAAACGAACAACCAUGCUGAUGAUCAUAGAAUCGAACACAAUCAAGAAAAAGAGUCUUAAGAGCUGGAAGAGAAGCAUUCUCAGGAACCAUAGCAAUAACAAACCCUAUUCCUAGUUUCAGUUUAACAAGUGUCUUGCAAGAGAAGACCUCUAAAGGCAGUGAAAACUCACUUUUAGUGAUUAUGUCAAUAUGAAGAAGAUCCAAGACACCACGACUUAGCACAUUACGUAUCCAAGGGUUGAUAAGAGCUGAGUCAACAACAUUCUGUCGAUAUUUCAGAGAGAAUUUCUUUAGUGGGGAGUUGCCUGACACAGCCAAUACUCUUUCCAAGAAAUCUAUGAAACUCCAUGGAAUACCAAAAUCAGAAUCUCGAUAGUCAAAAUCUUUUUCUUCAAAUCGAAGAUUUGGUAACAAGGCAAACAGAUUUCGCCAUCUCUUUGAUAGAACAGAUGUUAAAGCAGCUUCCUUUGUCGAGUGAAAGGACAAGAUGUGGUAAAUGAUGUCAUCAGGUAGACUACUGAUCCAAUCCAUUUUCUUUUUUGGUAAACCCUAACUAAGAAGAAGAGAUAAAAGGGAAGGAAGCAAAGCGUCAAAUAAUAGAAGAAGAAACUUCUCAUUGAUUUUGGUAUUAGAGAACGGAUUGGUUUGGUUCGUUUUUUAAACAGAACCAAAAUCUAACCGAGGAUACUAUGAUCGGUUAAAAUUAAUUACGUCUUAUAAGAUAUUGAUUCAAACAUUAACUUAACACGACAACGAGAAAAUUAAAGGAGAGAAGAGAUAUGAGAACAUAAGUCAAAUAAAGAAGCUAUGCAAAGCAAAUUGAUGCAGAAACUCUGAAUCAUACUAGUCCAAUGGAAAACAAAACUCAGAUUCAGAGUUGGAGCCAAAUUUAACUUGUUUAUAAGGUCAUGUAUUGAGAAUUAGUUGUUUGUAAAUAAUAGAUUUAUUGAAUUUGGAAGGGUUGUUUAGAGUUUGUCAACUAUGUUAUUCCUUCAUAAAUGAAUUGUUGCAGACAUAGAACAUAAGUUUAAUUUAGUAUUAUAUUUAUGCUUAAUGAUCUUAUUUUUAUGCAUAUAAAUUCGAUUGAAGAUCAGUUAAGACAUUAGACACCAACAAAGAACACAUUAAUGUUGAAACGAGCCUCAGAACAAAAUGUAGACAGAGAGAGUAGAUUAAGAGAUUCAGGUUUGAACAAACUUAAGCAACUAGAGAGGGACCAAAGUUACACUUGAUGCAUUAGUUAGUUUAUCAGGGAAAGAACUCUAGCUGGAUCUUGCAAGCUCUGGGAAGCAUGGGCAGAUCUGUGGCGAUUUGCAACUUUAAUUCUUGAUCGCUUCCCCAAGCAGAGACUUUGAGCAGCUCAAGACAUGGGAAUUUCUCCAGGAAAAGCUUAACUUGCUUAAACUCUCCAAUAGUUCCCCAAAAAUUGUGUAUCUCUAUGACUUUCACAGGACAUGACAACAGAAACGAAUAUCCAGACAAGCACUCCUGACUACCAUAGUCAUGAAAAUAGUGCGCGGAGGGACCCUGAAACAAGAUGAAUGAUUAUAGAUUGAAGACUGCUUGGAAUGUGUAUCUAUAGGGGUUUUGAAAAAUUUGCCUUUUUCCAAAAUACUUUCAAGGUUUCAGUCAUACCUUGAUAACAAGUGUCUGUAGAUUCGGAGAUUUUUUAAGCAGUAAUGGAAGAAACUCCCAAUAGUUGUACUCAGUUUUAAUAGAUAAACGAGACAGGUUUUCCAACACUGGGAUUGCUUCACCAAAGGAACUAAAAAUCUGGAGACAAAAUAAAAAGUCAACUAGUCAUCAACCAAAACCUCAAGAUUUCAAUUCUUAUAACCCAGGAAGCGAAACAAGGAUGCAUCUAUAGUUCCUGAAUAUCCUCAUCAUGCUAUUUUAUCUUCUCAAGUUGCAAUAAUAUACUACAGAAGAACAGAAAAGAACAGAGCACACUUACCUCACAGGUUUUCAAAGUCGAUAAGUCCAGGAUCUCAACAUUUCUCAACCCCUUAAUCAGAUUUGUUGGAUUUCUUAUGUUGGUAACAAUCCUCAUACCCAUUAGAUUAAGCUUAGCUUCCACAAGGGAGUCGAGAUUAACAAUUGGAUACUCAUCCGGAAGAAAAGAAGCGUAGUCUAAGUAGGUAAGACUCGGAGUAUCGAAAGUAGUGCUCUUGAAAUCGGCAUCACAAAAACCUCGACAACCAAGACAGCUAAUAGUAAGUCUCUUAAGGGUCGCAGAUGACACGGUGCGACACCAUUCCCAAUCUUCAAAAUCCAUACCACGAAUCAAUAAUUGCUCAAGCACACGGCAAGCAGAAAGAAGGGCUUCAAAUGCACAACCAUGAUUAUCGAACCGGAUACAAUCAAGAAAGAGACUCUUAAGAGCUGGAAGAGAAGCACUCUCAGGAACCAUAGAAAAUAACAAACCCUCUUCCUAGUUUCAGCUUAACAAGUGUCUUGCAAGUGAAGACAGCUAAAGGCAGUGGAGUCCUACCUCUAGCAAUUACAUGAAGAUGAAGAUGAUCCAAGACACCACGACUCAGCACAUUACUUAUCCAGAGGUUGAUAUGAGCUGAUUCAACAUCAUGAUGAUAAUUCAGAGUGAAUUCCUUAACCGGUGAAUUGCCUGACACAGCCAAUACUCUAUCCACAAAAUCACAGAAACUCCUCAAAACAUCUAAACCAGUAUUCCCAUUAAAAAGGUCUUCGUCUUCUUCUACAAAACGAAGAUUUGGUGUGCAAGUAAACAGAUUCCGCCAUCUCUUGGAGAGAAGAGAAGUUGAAGCAGCCUCCUUUGUCGAUAGGAACGACAAUGUGUGGCAAAGAAUCUCAUCAGGUAGACCACUGAUUCUAUCCAUCACUUACCAAACCCUAGAACACUAUUUCGAAUGGAGUUUUUAACAACAAGAUUCCAACAUCAAUCACAGACUCCAUAAGCUCCCAGCAGUUUCAACGCCUAUACAGUCAUACCCAAUGCAAAAUCUACAAACACAGAGAAGAUACAUAAACUCGAUUUAACCAUAAGAGAUAGAGAUGAGAUUUGAGAAUAGAAGAAACCCAGUUAAACAAGUCAAAUGAGAAGCCACACAAAGCAAAUUGACGCCGAAUCUGAAAAGUUAAUGAGAAGUUAUGAAUUCACUUCGGCGUUUACCUAGGUACAUUCGCCAAGUCCAACACUUUCAGCUUCUAGAGACGCAAAUGCAACCAAAUUAGGGUCGAAUUGGGAGGGAAGAAAGCUAAAUCGAAGAUUUAGGGUUUCUGGAAAACAAAGGCGUUCGCUGAGAAAUAUUGUUUCUACGGCGGGAAUGCCGGGAAUGUUAUGGUUGGAGUCGGAGCGGAAAUGUCACAAGUAAACCAUAUUACUUGGUUUAAAAACCGGUCCAAACCAAAACCAAAGCAGGCCAGAAAUUAGAAGCAAAACCAAACCUAACCAAAGUUUAUUCUCAAGUGAUGUGAAAUUGUCAAGUUGCCUGCCUCCUAGCUGUUUGCAAAUUCUUUAGUUGUUGGGCCUAUUUGUGCAUGUCGUCGUAUCUUCUUCGCUUGUACCGGCGAUUCAACAACACUCGUGCUCUUUUUUCUCUAGUAAACCCCUAAAUCUUCCUGAAUUUGAGUAUUGGACUUCGCGUAUGUGCUGAGGACCAAGGUAGGUGCCGUGAUUAGCUCAAAUUUAUGCUUCUACUGAUUGUUUUUUUUUUUUGUUCAAAGUUUCAAAAUUGAUUUGCCUUGUGUGGUGGUUUCGUAUUUUUCUUGUUUACUUUGUCUGUCUGUUUUCGCUCAUAUUUUUGGUGGCGAGGGUCAUGUUUGAAUCUGUUUCUAUACGAGUGGAACUGUUUGGUAAUUGUUGAUUUUGGGAAUUUUAUGUCUGUAUUCCUACAGAGUCGAUGGAUCGGAUCAGCAGUUUACCGGACGAGCUCCUUUGUCAUAUAUUGGCCUUCUUUACGACAAAGGAGGCUGCUUUGAUUUCGGUUCUCUCUAAGAGGUGGCUCAGUUUGUGGACACUUGUCCCUAAUCUUGAAAUUGAUGACUCUGCCUUCCUUCAUCCUGAAGAGGGUAAGCGGGAAAGAGAUGGGAUUCUUCAGAGCUUUAUGGAUUUUGUGGAUAGAGUAUUGGCAGUGCAGGGUGAUUCUCCCAUCAAGAAAUUCUCCCUCAAGUGUCAAACUGGUAUUGAUACAGGUCGUGUGUUACCUUGGAUAUGUAAUGUGCUGCACCGUGGUGUUUCAGACCUUGAACUUUUCCUCCAGUUUCCUAGGUAUGAUUACCAUUCCUCUUCCGAAGAUGAAUAUUUUCUGCCUAAAGAGAUGUUUGUCAGUAGGACACUUGUUGAGCUGAAAUUAACAAGUGAGUUUGGUAUUGAUUGGUGGCGUGGAAGUAGAGGCACUUUCUUACCAAUGCUUAAAAGUCUAGACAUUUACACGGAUAGGAUUUCAUUAGGUGAGAAGCUUGAGAUGUUUCUUCCUUCUUUCCCUGUGCUUGAGGAACUAUACAUGGCUGAUUUUGAGUGGAGUGAGUCGGAUGAAUCCGUGUCAAGUACAAGUCUCAGGAAGCUAACUAUCUCUGGCGGUUUUGAAGACUUUCAGAAUCCAAAGAGCAUUUCAUUUGAUACACCAAGUCUGGUUUUCUUGGACUACUUUGAUAUUGUUGCAGAGGACUAUCCAAAAGUUAACUUGGCAAAUUUAGUUGAGGCUCGACUCAACCUUAUACUAAGUGAUGAUCAAAUCGAGCUAAUACGAGCGCCAAAUGAUGAAGAUGAAGUUUUCCUGCGUCUUAGAAAUGUGUGGAAGCUCAUGAGUGGCAUAAGAAAUGUUCAGAAACUUUAUUUUUCUGCAGAUACCCUCGAGGUCGGUUGCUAUUUUGUUUUUCUUUUGUAGUAUUUUAUUCGUUAGUCUCAAGGACAUGAAGAAACCGAACAGCCUCAUCUAAAUUCUGAAGCAUGCGAUUCAAAUUUAUGUUAGUCUGAGUGUACAUUUUCUUAUGCUAAGUCCUUUCACAGAUUUCAAUGCAGAAUCAAAGGUCAUCUCGAUGUUUUAAGCCUCCUGUUUUCAAAUUGGGAAUUAAUCCUUGAGAUUUUGAAACAAAGAUUGCAACAAUGUAAUGUCUGCUUUCUUUUUUUGUCUUGUUUCAGUUGCUUUCUCUAUGCUGUGAAUCAUUUCCGGUGUUCAACAACCUCAAAAUUUUACGUAUAAAGAGUGCCGAGGAUCGAGGAUGGCAAGCAAUGCCUGUUCUCUUAAGGAACUGUCCACAUUUUAGAAACUCUAAUCAUUGAGGUGUAAACACAACUCAUUUUCUUCAAACAUUUACAAAGACAGAGUUCAUUGUUUGAAGUCCCUUAUUGUCUCCUUUCUGCGUUCAGGGUCUAUUACACAAUGUGACUGAUAAAUGUGGGGAUGCUUGUGACUGCAUUUCUCGGGAGGAUAAAGGUCGUUCGCUCAUAUCUUGUCCAGUGAAGAAGUUGCAGAUCAAAGGGUUUCGAGGAACAAUUAGAGAGAAAGAGAUGAUAAGGCAUUUCUUGGAGUUUUGCCCGUGUUUGGAUGAGAUGGAGAUAGAUGCCGAAGAGAAUGAUUCUACAAACUUUGAAGUGCCUAAAAUUUUAAAAAUUGUCCCGUAUAAGCUCCAAAACGCGGUCUCUACAGAGAUAGUUGGACAUUGGAAGAGUUCGGCACAAUGUGGGGGUUGGUCCCAUACCCAGAUGGAUGAGAUGUACUCGGAGGUAUAUUUGAUUACCGUUUUCAAUCACAAAAAAUUACUACAGCUUUGAAUUCACUAAUUGUUUUUUUUUUUUUUCUUUCUUUUUCCUACAGUUUGCUCCCCACAAUAAAGAGUGUAUCUAUGAUAUGGCCUUCUUCAUGCAUGGAGCUUCUUCCCUGGUACCUCCUCCUCUGCCACAAGAGACGUCUCAGGACUCUCUUCAGAUGCAACUAGAUGCUGCUAAAGCCAAACAUGCGGAUCUGAUGGAGAGGCAACGAGGCUACGAAGCUAUGUUCGACAUGAUUGUCGACCAGAACCCAAUGCUAGCAUCAGCGUUGAGGGCUCGAGAGGCAACUGACUCAGAGCGAGCAAAGGCGUCGAGUGGUGAGGAGAUGACCGAGAAGAAACGGGACUUUGAUGCUCUGUUCGAUAUCAUUGCCGAGCAGAACCCAAUGCUAGUGUCAGCAUUAAGGGCUCGGCGUGCAACAGACUCAGAGCGAGCUGAGACAUCCAGGGAUCAGGAGAUGACCGAGCUCAACCAAGCUACGGCAGCAGAUUUUCUUCCUCGAGACGGAGAAUAAAUUUAUGAUUGUCAAAACAUUUUUUUUUUUUUUUUUUGUUUGUUUGUAUUACUACGGUAACAGUUUUAUUUUAAAAUUUUAGACCUUUUGAUAGUUUACUAAUAUUUGGUUCGGUUUGUGUUUAUUUAGAUUGAAUUCCGGUACAGAGUUUCUUCCUCUAAAAUAUGGAUCUUUCAUAUCUUGGCUUCUCUCUCGAAAUCCAAACUAUCUACCCUCGAUUUCGGUCGUAAGCUAACUAUUCGCUUCUGUUUCUACUGAUGUUAUACUCCUUUGAAGGUAUCUUAGAUCAUUUUGCGUUUUGGUGGAUUCCUAUUCACAUUGUUAAAUUUCGAUCAAUCGUUUCUCUGUUUAUGUAUGGUUGAUGUUCCAAUAGCUUUGUGUAGUUCAGAGAAUGGAUCUCUUCAGCAGUCUACCAGAUGAUCUCCUUUGUCAUAUAUUGUCCUUCCUAUCCACAAAGGAGGCUGCUUUGACAUCGGUUCUCUCCAAGAGGUGGCGCUAUCUCAUUGCUUUUGUCCCUUAUCUCGAGUUUGAUGACUCUGUCUUUCUUCAAUCAGGAGAGGGUAAGCGGGAAAAGGAAGGAAUUUUGCAGAGCUUCAUGGAUUUUGUGGAUAGGGUAUUGGCUUUGCAGGGUGAUUCUCCCAUAGUGAAAUUCUCACUCAAGUGUAAAACUGGUGUUGACUCAGAUCAUGUGGAUCGUUGGAUAUGUAAUGUGUUGGCUCGUGGUGUUUCGGACCUUGAUCUUUUCAUUGAUUUCAGAGAUUUAUAUUGUCUGCCUCACGAGGUUGGUGUCAGUAGGACACUUAUUGAGCUGAGAGUAGGAAGUGACUCUGAUCUUUAUUGGUGGCAGAAGGAUUUAUGCUUACCGAUGCUUAAAACUCUCGUUCUUGACUCCUGCGGGUUAUGUACUGGUCAGUUUCAAAUUCUUCUUCUUGCUUGCCCUGCGCUUGAGGAGUUAGACAUGACUAAUACACGGUGGAGGGAUUCCAAUGUGACUGUGUCUAGCCCCAUCCUCAAGGAGCUGACUAUUGAUCUCCAUGGUUGUCAUAGACUAGUAAAUCUGAAGAGUCUUUCAUUUGAUGCUCCAAGUCUUGUUUACUUUUAUUACUGUGAUUCUCUUGCGGAGGACUAUCCACAAGUUAACUUGAAAAACUUAGUCGAGGCUCAAAUCCACCUUUUACUAACUCAAGGUCAAAUCGAGCAAGCAAGAGCACUAAAUAAUGAAAUGUUGGUGGAUGAUGUUUUCCCUGGUCUUGGCAAUGCGUGGAAGCUCAUUACUGGCCUAAAAAAUGUUCAACAACUUUACUUGUCCCCUGAUACUCUUGAGGUCAGUUUUCUCUCUUGUAGUGUAUAUCUGGCUGGUUGGGAGGAUAUAAAGACAUCAAUUAUUCUAAUCGCGUGAUUUCUAGUGUCGUUUUGUCUCGUUUGCAGGUGCUUUCUAGGUGCUGUGAAGCGAUGCCGGUGUUCAACAACCUCAAAUUGUUAAGUAUUUGGAGUGACAUGAAUAGGGGAUGGCAAGCAAUGCCAGUUCUUCUAAGGAACUGUCCACAUUUAGAAACUCUAAUCAUUGAGGUAGACCUCCUAUAAUCCAUGAAACUUUGUUUGUGGACAAAACAUCCGCUAAAGAUGCAGUUCAUACUCGCAAUAACUUUAUUGUCUCCUUUUUGUGCUUUCAGGGACUAUUACACUAUGUGACUGAUAAAUGCGGGGAUGUUUGUGACUGCAUUUCUCGGGGUCACAAAGUCCAUCCGCUCACAUCUUGUCCAGUGAAGAAGUUACAGAUUUAUGAGUUUCGCGGAACAAUUAGAGAGUUAGAGAUGAUCAAGCAUUUCUUGGAGGUUUUUCCGUGUUUGAAGGAGAUGGAGAUAUAUGCUCACGAGAAUUUUCCUACACUAUUUAAAGACCCUAAAAUGGUUGAACGUGUCGGGAAGAUGAUGAACUUCUACAAUAAGUUAUCGAGUUGCAGUGUUCAAUUACUAGUGCGCGGUCCCUUGUAAGGAAAGUGGACUGCACUGAAGAAUUUGUGGGAAUAAACACAGCUCAUAGUUUUGGUCAAAGUCUACUUAGUCUCAUUGGUAUUCUGUUACGUUUUUGCUAUUUUUCAAAAUGUUACAUUGUCACGAGGCUUAACUUCCUUCGGUAAUCUUUUGCAUUGUCAUAAUGAUGGGGGAUAACUGAAAGUCUGAAACCAUUCAAAAUAGAAACAUUCAUAAGGCAAAAGAAGAAGAAGAAGAAGAAAAUUCGUUUGGAAUUUCAAACCAGUUAACAAAACUGAACAAUUUCUGAAGGGACUUUGGCAAAACUACGAGCAAGUUAUGUUCUUCGUAGAAUUUGUGCAGUUAACUUGUUAUACAGAGACUCACAGACCAUGAUUUCGACAUUGCAAGUCAAUGACUUCUUGUAGAGUUUCAUCAUCUGUACUUGAAGAUCAAUAACUUCAGGGACAUCGGGCUGUGUAAGACCAUACCCUUGAUCACUGAUUUCUAUCUCCUUCAAACACGGAAAAUAGUCCAAGAAGUGCUUGAUGAUCUUUAUCUCUCUCAUUGUUCCUCUAAACCCUUCAAUCUCUAAUCUCUUCACUGGACAAGUUGAACGCGGACAAACUUUGUCCUCCUGAGAAAUGCAGUCACAAACAUCCUCGAAUGUAUCUGGCACACAAUGCGAAAGAUCCUGAAAGCAUAAAGGAGGGAUAAGGGAUUCAAAUUAUGAACUCUAUUUUUCUACAAGUUUGACAGAUAAGUUGUGUUUAAUACCACAAUGCUUAGAGUGUCUAGAUGUGGACAGUUCUUUAGGAGAACUGGCACUGCUUGCCAUCGACUCUCACCCCUCCUAAGUCGUAACAAUUUGAGGUUGUUGAACACCGGCAUCGACUCACAGCAUAGAGAAAGCACCUGAAACAAGACGAAACCCAACUAAACAUUUUGCAAUCACAUGUUUCAAAACUAGACCUUCUCUUGUAUGUCAAAAAAUGGGAACAAAUUCUGGUUUUCUUACUUUUAUAUCCCAGUGAUUAAAGAUAUUACCAGAGAAAACAACAUAGCAUACUGACCUCAAGAGUACUAGAGGUCAAGCAAAGUUUCUGAACGUUUCGUAUGCCAUACAUGAGCUUUGCCACAUUACCAAGUCGAAGAGCAACAUCAUCCUCAUCAUCUUCUAACCAAUCAUUAUUUGGGGCUCUUGCUCGUUCGAUUUGAUCCUUAGUUACUACAAGGUUGAUUCGAGCCUCAAAAAGAUUUUGUAAAUUAGCUAAGUGAUAGUCUUCUGCAACAGAAUCAGAGUAGCCUAAGUAAACAAGACUUGGUGUAUCAAAUGAAAAAGUGCCUGAACCAACGCUGGAUUUAAUUUUUAGGGUCUUGAGGCUUGCACUUGACACGGUCUCAUCCGAAUCUAAUCCCUUUAUAUUAGCCAUGUCUAAUUCUUCAAGGGCAGGACAAGCAGGAAGGAGUAUUGCAAACUUAUCGACACAAAAUUCAACUGAAUCAAGAACAAGAGUUUUAAGCAUCGGUAAGAAAAUGCUCUCAGUCCACCAACCAAGAUCAAUUCCACUUCCAAUCUUCAGCUUAACUAGUUUGUUGCUCUCGAAACCACUUGAAGACAGCCAAUAUCUAUCUCCAAAAACGAUGCAUAGAUCAAGGUCCGAAACACCACGCGCCAACACAUUUUGUAUCCAAAAAUCCAGAUUAUCUGAAUCAACACCAGUUUGACACUUGAGGGAGACUUUAUUAAUGGGAGAAUUACCCUGCAAAGAUAUAAUUCUAUCCACAAAAUCCAUGAAGCUCUGUAUAAUUUCGGGCCGAUCCCGUUUACCCUCUUCUGGAUGAAGAAAGACAGAGUCAUCAAUGUCAAGAUCAGGGACAAGUGUCCACAAAUUGAGCCACCUCUUGGAGAGAACAGAUGUCAAAGCAGUCUCCUUUGUGGUAAGGAAGGACAAUAUAUGACAAAGAACUUCGUCUGGUAGCCUGCUAACAAGAUCCAUCUUCUCUGCAGUCUGCACACAAAAAAAAAAAAGGAAGAGGUACAUUAAGUCAUAUAACUGUACAAAUCACAAAGCUUUUUAUUAGAAGAUCAGCGAUACAUAAUUGAACAACGAGUUCCACUGUGCAGGAUCUACAAAGUACAAAAAGAGGAAAAUGUUUGAUAGUGAAGCAAAAAGUUGGAAUUGAUAAGCUAAAAUGGUAAAACAAACAAGAAAUUUAAGAACUUCUACCCAAAACAAGAGACGGGAGCUAAAACCCAAUUAAAUAACACCAAAGCAGAAGAUAAUGAGUAAAAUUUUGGAAUAUACCUCGUUACAAAGACCAAGUCCAAGACCUAAAAUUUAAGGAUUUCAGUGAAGGCGUUGGCGAUUUCUACCUGUUUUGCUAAAGAAGACUCCAAAUCUAAAGACACUCGUCAUCGAGGUAUGACCAUAAUCUUGCAAGUUUAUUGACUAACCGCAAUUUCCAAAAGUCCUUGCAUUCUCCUAAAUAUUUAAUUUCUACUAAUCGUCCCGCUUGAGUCAGGGUCCAUUGCACUAUGAUGAUGAUGAAGAAGAAGAAGAACCUGAAUACUAUUGCGAGUGUUCAUCGGGAUGUAAUUGUCUAUUGUCAUGUCCUGUAGAAGUCCUGGAGAUCUCCAAGUACAGUGGAACUACCAAAGAUCUGGAGAGAGUGAAGUAUUUCUUAGGGAAGCUGUCAUGUCUUGAGCAUGUGAAACUUGGUGUUCUGGCAAGAGGCGGCGACAAGGAAAAAUUGAGAAUCACCACUGAUCUGCUAAUGCUUCCUAGAGCUUCGGUCAAUUGCAAGAUUCAGAUCAAGUUUUCUAAAAACUACUACUAACUCAUCCACGAGGAACAAACUUUGGUCCUCCUAGUUGCAUAAGUCUGCCUGUAAACACUCUUGCUGGUUUAUUACUUUGUUGGAGUUUACUUGUUAUCUUAGUCUGAUCUUCUUUCUAAGACUUGUUUUGAUUUUGCUUUAAUGGGUUUUCUUAUGAUCUUACUCCAAAAUGACAAUUUAUCACCCAUGAACAAAUCUAAAAUUACAGCAGAAGUGUACUUAAGCUAAGGUUUGUUUGUUGUGCAAGACUUCUCUAUGAAGGCCAAUUCCUAGACAAGAAAUCACUUUACUCAGAACUCAGAAGUCAACAUCACAGCAUAAUUUUUUUGCUAGAUAACUUAACCUCAGAAUGUAUAGAUAACUAAUUUGACAAACUUGGUUACUUUUUUGACAAUGUAGGGACUACUUUUUGCUACCAGCGAGCUCUUUCGCUUAAGAGUCUGAGAAGAUCUGUGAGAACUGAGAAGUUCAACGCAAGUAAAAAGGUAACCAAUUAUAGCCGUAAGGAUUUUCUUUUACAAAACUAUAAAAACUGUGUCCAAAUGCAUUUCAAAAUUUUAACCAAAUAAACUACUCUGUUUUGGGUCAACUAUCGAAACAUCCAUUCGACACCUUUUAGUUUCCAGAAAAAAAUCAAAUGAAACAUGGCUUUAGCAAAAUCAUGAAAACGUUUCAUACUCGUAGACUUCACUGUGCAGUCCAUUUCCUACGCAUGUAACCCCACACCAGGAAGUAAACAUCACAACUCGAUAACUCAUUGUAGAGCUUCAAUAUCUUCUCAACAUACUCAAACGCUCCAGGAUUUUCAAAGUUUGUAGGACCAUUUUCUUCAGCAAAUAUCCCCAUCUCCUUUAAACAUUUAAAAGACCUCAAGAAGUGCUCAAUCAUAUUUAUCUCUCUCAUCGUUCCUCUAAACCCUUGAAUCUCUAACUUCUUCACGGGACAAGAAGUGAGUGAACGACCUUUGUCUUCCCGAGAAAUGCAGUCACAAGCAUCCCCGCAUUUAUCUGUCACAUAGUGUAAGAGACCCUGAAAGCAUAAAGAAGACAAUAUGAUCAUUGAGUCUGAACAACAUAAUUAACAAAAUGUGUUGUCCGAGUAGUUUCAUGGUUUAUAAUUGACCUCAAUGAUUAGAAAUUCUAGAUGCGGACAGUUUCUCAGAAGAGCUGGUACUGCUUGCCAACCGCGACCCUCGUCACUCUUAAUACCUAAGGUUUUGAGGUUGUUAAACACCGGCAUUGAUUCACAGCAUAGAGAAAAUACCUGAAAACAAGAAAAAAAAAUCCAACUGGAUACUUCGCAAUUAAUCUUUCACAAAUAGACCAGAGAGAGCAAAAUAGAAAACUGACCUCCAGAGUAUCAGCAGUUAAGUAAAGUGUCUGAAUGUUUUGUAUGCCAUUCAUGAGCUUCACGACAUUGCCAAAUUGGAGAACAACAUCACCCUCUAACAAAUCAUUAUUUGGCUCUCUUACCCGCUUGAUCUGAUCAUCUUUUACUAUAAGGUUGAUUCGAGCCUCACAUAACUUUCCCAUUUUGACUAAUGGAUAAUCCUCGGCAACUAAAUCAGAGCAGUUUAAGUAAAGCAGACUUGGAGUGUCAAAAGAAAUGCUCUUUGGAUUCACAUAGUCUUCACAACCGGUGCCAAGGAUACUUAGCUUCCUGAGGCUUGCACUUGACACGGUUUCGUCAGAAGCCGUCCACUCCAUAUUAGCCAUUCGUAAUUCCUCAAGCACAGGGAAAGAAUGAAGAAACCUCUUCAUCUUACCCCAAAGAAUCAAGUCCGAGUCAAUAUAAAGGCUUUUAAGCAUUGGUAAGAAAGUACCUCCCUUUCCACACCACCAAUCAACACAACGAUCACUUCUUAUUUUCAGCUUAACCAAUGUCCUGCUGACGAACAUCUCUUGAGGUAGCAUAUCCUCAUCCUCUUCGAUAUCCUCCAAGGAAUAAUCAAUGAAAAGAUCAAGAUCCGAAACACCACGCUGCAGCACAUUACAUAUCCAACGAUUCACAUGAUCUGGAAGAACACCAGUUAUACAUUUGAGAGAGAAUUUAUCAAUGGGAGAAUCACCCUGCAAAGCCAGUACAUUGUCCACGAAAUCAACGAAGCUCUGUCGAAUUUCAUGCCUUUCCGCUUUACCCUCUUCCGGAUGAAGAAAUUCAGAGUCAUCAAUGUCAAGAUUAGGGACAAGUUUCCAGAGAUUGAGCCAGCUCUUUGAGAGAACCGAAGUCAAAGCAAUGUGCUUGGCGGGAAGGAAGGACAAGAUAUGACCACGAACCUCGUCUGGUAGAUUGCUGACACGAUCCAUCUCCUGUACAUGAGAUUAAAAGUACAUUAUUACAUAUCUACAACUAGAGGAAGCUCUAACAGUAAGGUAAAACAUGAAAUUUGACAGCUUUUCCCCCAAAAGAUGAGAGAGGAGAAAUGGGAACAGAGAAAAACCUAAUUCACAAAUCACAACGCAAGUAAGAAUCCACCCAAAGAAAACUUUAAAUGAAGAAACAGAAAAUUAGUAGAAACAGAGUGAAAACUUGAGCAUUUACCUCGCUACGAAUGGCUUAAUCGAAGAUCCAAAUUAUGGUGAUUUCAGUGAAAGCUUCCAGUUAUAAGAGAGAGAGUUGGGAGUGCUUAGUCACUAGUUUCUAUGGCAGAGGGGAAAGUCACAGACUUUCAGUUCGACAAUACAUGCAAAUGCAUCGGAGAAGCCGAAACAUCCAACUUUAAGAAGAAGAAGACAACAGACAAACGAGGGUUUUUAAAAUUAAAACUACGGUUGAAUGUUGGUCCUACUUAAAUCACCGGUUUAAUUGGGUAAACAAACCGGAACUGAUUUUACUUUGGGCUGCGGGAUUAUGGUAGAACAAACGUGAAUUCGUGAUGAUGCUAUUUAAUUUUUGAUGUCUCAUCAGCUUCUCAAAAACAUUUGCAUAUGUUCUCCAACUGAAAGUUUGAGAAUUUUAUUUUCUUUAGGUUAUGGUUAUCAUAUUCUGGCCUGAACUGGUUUGGUUUUGUUGCGAACAUAAUUACUUGUUAAGUUAGUUAAUUUUAUUACUUGUAAACACAGAUCGAGAAGGAGUAUAAGAUCAGCAGCAGAAACAGAAGAGAACAGUUAGCUUCCGCACCUACCGUGUACAGAUGCAAAGUCGAGAGAGUAGCCAAGAUAUGAAGGUCCAAGUUUAGAGGAAGAGUUUACAAGCCGCUUCGUUUCAGGAUGUUGAACCGAAAUUCGAACUAAAUAAACACAAACAGAACCAAAUUGGAAAAAAAAAACAAUCGCAAAUCUAUUCUCCAUCUCGUGGCAGAAAAUCUGCUGCCCUAGCUUGGCCGAGCUUGGUCAUCUCCUGAUCCCUGGAUGUCUCAGCUCGCUCUGUGUCGGUUGCACGCAGAGCCCUUAGUGCCGAUGCUAGCAUUGGGUUCUGCUCAGCAAUGAUAUCGAACAGAGCAUCAUAGUCCCGCUUCUUCUCGGUCAUCUCCUGACCACUCGACCCCUUUGCUCGCUCUGAGUCAGUUGCCUCUCUAGCCCUCAACGCUGAUGCUAUCAUUGGGUUCUGGUCGACAAUCAUAUCGAACAUAGCCCGUUGCCUCUCCUUAAGAUCCGCAAGCUGAGCUUCUUGGUCCCGUAGCCUCUCCUUAAGAUCCGCAGCUUCAAGUUGCAUCUGAAGGUAGUCCUGAGACAUCUCUUGUGGCAGAGGAGGAGGAACUGGGGAAGAAGCUCUACGCAUCAUGAAGACCAUAUCAUAAAUACGCUCUUUAUUGCGGGGAGCGAACUGUAAAAGAAAAGAAAAGACAGUUAGUUUAUUCAAAGCUGUCAUGAUUUUAUGUGAUUGAAAACGGUAAUCAAAUAGUAUACCUCAGAGUACAUCUCAUCCAUCUGGGUCUGGGACCAACCCCCAGAUUGUGCCGAACUCUUCCAAUGUCCAACUAUCUCUGUCGAGACCACGUCGUAGAGCUUAUAGGCAACAAUUUUUAAAAUUCUAGGCACUUCAAAGUUUGUAGAAUCAUCCUCUUCGGCAUCUAUCUCCAUCUCAUCCACACACGGGAAAUACUCCAAGAAAUGCCUUAUCAUCUCUUUCUCUCUAAUUGUUCCUCGAAACCCACUAACCUGCAACUUCUUCACUGGACAAGAUAUGAGCGAACGACCUUUGUCUUCCCGAGAAAUGCAGACACAAGCAUCCCCACAUUUUUCUGUCACAUAGUGUAAGAGACCCUGAACGCAAAAAGAAGACAAUAUGAUUAUUGAGUCUGACCAACAUCUUUAACAAAUGUGUUGUCAAGUAGUUUCAUGGUCUAUUAAUUGACCUCAAUGAUUAGAAAUUCUAGAUGUGGACAGUUUCUCAGAAUAGAUGGCACUGCUUGCCAACCCCGACCCUCGUCACUCUUAAGACCUAAGAUUUUGAGGUUGUUGAAAACAGGCAUCGAUUCACAGCACUUAGUAAGAACCUGAAAACAAGUAAAAAAAACCAACUAGAUACUUUGCAAUUAUUCUUUCACAACUAGACCAGAUAUAACAAAAUAGAAAACUGACCUCGAGAGUAUCAGCAGUUAAGUAAAGUUUCUGAAUAUUUUGUAUGCCGUUCAUGAGCUUCACCACAUUGCCAAAUUGAAGAACAACAUCACCCUCAUCAUCCUCCAACAAAUCAUUAUUUGGCUCUCUUAUCCGCUUGAUCUGAUCUUCAUUUUUUACUAUAAGAUUGAUUCGAGCCUGAAAUAACUUCCCCAUUUUAACUAAUGGAUAAUCCUCCGCAACUAAAUCAGAGUAGUUCAAGUAAAGCAGACUUGGAGUAUCAAAAGAAAUACUCUUUGGAUUUUCAAACUCUUCAACACCGGUGCCGUGGAUACUUAGCUUCCUGAGGCUUGCACUUGACAUGGUUUCACUUUCAUCUGAUUCCCGCCACUCCAUAUUAGCCAUGUGUAUUUCCUCAAGCACAGGGAAAGAAUGAAGAAAGUCCUCCAUCGCACCACAAAAAAUCAAGUCCGAGUCAAUAUUAAGACUUUUAAGCAUUGGUAAGGAAGCGCCCAUCUCCCAAUGCCACCACCAAUUAACACAGUGUUCACUUCUUAAUUUCAGCUUAACCAGUGUCUUACUGACGAACAACUGUAGAGGUAGCCUAUAAUCAUCCUCUUCGGUAUCCUCGUCGGAAAAAUCAGUGAAAAGAUAAAGAUCCGAAACACCACGCUGCAGCACAUUACAUAUCCAACGAUUCACAUGAUCUGGAUGAACACCAGUUAUACACUUGAGGGAGAACUUCUCAAUAGGAGAAUCAGCCUGCAAAGCCAAUAUUCCGUCCACAAAUUCCACGAAACUCUGUCGAAUUUCAUCUCUUUCCCCUUUACCCUCUUCCGGAUGAAGAAAAUCAGAGUCAUCAAUGACAAGAUUAGUUUCAAAUUUCCACAGAUUGAGCCAGCUCUUGGAGAGAACCGAAGUCAAAACAGCGUGCUUGGUGGGAAGGAAGGACAAUAUAUGGCACCGAACCUCCUCUGGUAGAUUGCUGACACGAUCCAUCUCCUGUACACGAGAAUAAAAGUACAUUACUACAUCUAAAACUAGAGGCAGCUUUAACAGUAAGGUAACAUUAACCAAUUGGGAAAUUUUAAACAACUUUUCCCCAAAAGAGGAGAAGUGGGAACAGAGAAUAAUCCAGUUCACAACGCAAAUAAGAAUCCACCCAAAUAGAAUUUUGAACCCAAAAGAGAAUAUAAGCAGUAGAAACAGAGGAGAUUAGUAAACUUCAGCAUUUACCUCGUUACGAACAGUAAAUCCAAGAUCCAAACUUUGGGAAUUUCAGUGAAUGCGUCCAGUGAGAAGAUAGCUUAAUCGCUAGUUCCUAUACCCGUAGACGCGAAGAUGUGAAGAAAACGCGAAUACCCAGCGGAAGGUAGAGGGGAAAGUCCCAAACUUUCAGUUCGACAAGACAUGCAAAUGCAUCGGAGAAGCCGAAACCAAAUUUGAGGCUUUUGCAUUGAAAGCGGACACCACUACACCAGUAAGGUGGUGACCCAGUCGAGUUUUGGCUCCGUUUCCGGUUUAAUUGGGUAAACGGGUAAACCAACCGGGACUGCUUGAAUUUGGGCUGUGGAAGUAUGGACUAUGGUGGAACAAGUCAGGCCCAAGUAGAAGCCCAGUGUCAAACAAAGAAUCUUUUAUUCUUCUUCUUAAACGUUGGGUGUAAUGUUGCAGAGAAGCCUAUAUAUAGAGCCAUAGAGAGAAAAGAAAACAAACGUGUCGAAAGAAAAGCAGAAGAUGUCCAAGAUAUAUCAAAUAUCUAAAUGAAAUGGUGUCGUUUUAAUUUAGCUUUUAAACAAGAAUCCAAAGGAGACUUUGACCAAACUAUGAGCUAAGUUUUUUCCCGAGAAGACUUCAAUCAUUGUGCAGUCCACUUCUUAUCCAAGGAACUACGCACCAAGAACUGAACAUCACAACUAUAAAACUCGUUGUAGAGUCUGAGCAUCUGCGCAAUAAGUUCACGCACCCCAGGGACUUCGAGGUCUGUGCGACCCUUCUCUUCAGCAUAAAUCUCUACCUUCUCCAAACACCUAAAAGAUUCCAAGAAAUGCUUUAUCAUCUCUAACUCUCUAAUUGUUCCUCGAAACCCUUUGAUCUGUAACUUCUUCACUGGACAAGAUGCGAGCGAACGGCCUUUGUCUUCCCUAGAAACGCAGUCACAAGCAUCCCCACAUUUAUCUGUCACAAAAUGUCUUAGACCCUGAAAGCAGAGAAGCAUAGAGUAAGGGACUUCAAAGAAUGGUCUCUGUCACUGUUAAUGUUUGACAAAUGAGCUGUGUUAAUACCUCAAAGACCAAUGUUUCUAAAUGUGGGCAGUUCCUUAAGAGAGCCGGCAUUCCCUGCCAUCCUUCAUUCGCGGCAGUCUUAACAUGUAACAAUUUGAGGUUGUUGAACACCGGAAUCGAUUUACAGCAUAGAUAAAGUACCUGAAACAAGGCAAAGCCAAACUCAACAUUACAGCUGCAAUAUCUUUUAAAAUAUCUCCAGGAUUGAUUCGAUAUGUAAAAGCAGGAGCCUUAGAACAACAAUGGAGUGUGCAUUAGAACCUAUGAAAGUACUUAGCAUAAGAAUUUUAUGCUCGGAAUAACAUAAAUUUGAAUCUCAUACUUCCACAAUUUAGAUGGGUUUCCUUGAGUCCAGUGAAAAAAAAUACUAUCAAAACAAAAUAAAAACUGACCUCGAGAGUAUCUAAAGAUAUGUAAAGUUUCUGAACAUUUCUUAUGCCACUCAUGAGCUUCCACCCAUUUCUAAGACGCAGAAGAACAUCAUCCUCAUCGCUAUUUGGCGCUCUUCUUCGCUUGAUUUGAUCUUCAGUUAAUAAAAGGCUGAUUCGAGCCUCAACCAAGUUUGUCAAGUUAACUUUUGGAUAAUCCUCCGCAACAAUAUCACAAUAGGCAAAGUAAACCAGACUUGGAAUAUCAAAAGAGAUGCUCUUUGGAUUUGAAAAGUCUUCACAACCGGUGGUCCAGAUACUUAGCUUCCUGAGGCUUGCACUUGACACGGUUUCAUCCCACUCAUUAAAAGACAUGGAUAAUUCCUCAAGCACAGGGAAAGUAUGAAGAAACAUCUCAAUCGUAUCACAACGAAUCCAAGCUGAGUCAAAAAUGAGAGUUUUGAGCAUUGGUAAGACAGUGCCUAGUCUAGCCCACGCUACCCACCAAUUAACACCUAAUGAACAUCUUAGUUUCAGCUCUACUAGCGUCUCACUGAAGAACAGUUUUCGAGGCAUAAAAUAUUCUUCGUCGAAAUCGAUGAAAAGAUCCAUGUCCAAAACACCACGCUGCAGCACAUUACAUAUCCAACCAUCAACUCGACGUGGAUGAACACCAGUUUUACACUUGAGGGAAAACUUCUUAAUGGGAGAAUCACCCUGCAAUGCCAAUACAUUAUCCACAAAAUCCAUGAAGCUCUGCAGAAUUUCUUCUCUUUCCCGCUUACCCUCUUCCGGGUACAGAAAGACAGAGUCAUCAAUGUCAAGAUUAGGGACAAGUGCAAACUGACUGCGCCACCUCUUGGACACAACCGAUGCCAAAGCAGCCUCUUUUGUGGUAAGGAAGGACAAAAUAUGACAGAGAAUCUCUUCUGGUAGACUGCUGAAGAGAUCCAUCUUCUCUGCAGAAUUACAAAGGUAGAAUUCAAACAUCAACAGUUACCAAAUAAGAAAACCACCCAAAGCAAAUAGAUUUUGAGACUGUGAACGAAAAAGACGCCCAAAUGAGAAUACAGCUAGUAGAAGAAGAAGAUAUGUGUUAACUUCAGCAGCUACCUUGGUACGGAGACGAAACUCUUAGCCUUAGGAAAAAGGAAAAAAAAGUAAAUUUUGAUGCAGUAACACUUGAAAUUAGGUCAAUUCCUCGAUAAAGGCGUCCAGUGACAGUGAGAGAAGAGAGGCGAAGAGCUGAAACAUUGGUUUCUAUGACCCUACAGACAAACAAAGGUCUCAUGACAAAUCUCUGAAAAGAAACAUACUUUCAAAAUGGAGAGAAAAAUUCGACACCUACCUUGGGAGGAACAAACGCUAAAUCAAAGUACCUAGGCUUGGGUUUCAAUGAAUAUGUCUGUCUAGUGAGAAUAGAGAGCCCGUGUGCUGAAUCGCUGGUUGUGAAUAGUCGUCAUGACUCAUGAAAAUGCGUCGGAGAAGAAGCUGAAACUUCUCAAUUUCCUGGUUAGGUUCCGCGAUUGGUUUGGUUAUGGUUUUAAUUUUAACCGAAGAUGCUCGGUUUACUAAGCAAAACGGAGCGUUUUGUGAGAAAAGAAGAACUCAAAAAAGGUGCAUAAUCUUCAUACAUUCACAUCUUUAAUAGUCUUAUCAUGAUGAUGAUUGAUGAUACCCUGUUAAGACAAAUGUUGAUAACCUUUUGUAUGGGAUCAUGAGCUUCAACAUAACAUUCAAUUUUAGCAUAUAUACUGAAUUACUGAUAUAGGGUAUGGAAUCAAAGUAUAAACUUUUGUGGCUUAAGUUGGGUUCUGUUGUAGUUGAAAUUGAAUAUCUUGUUAACCUUCGUUACUUUGAGUAAAAACGUCUGAAAAACAAGUCAAAGCAAAAUAACUGACGAAAACAAUCCUAUCAAUAGAAUCCAUCUGACAGAAAACCAAAUUAAAAAAAAAAAAAACAGAGUUAUGCUCAAAGAAAGCUACGAGGAGGAAUAAACUCGAACUCGAUCUUGCACUUAGACGAUCUAGGAAUAUUCAGCAGAUUGGUUCUGAGUUGAAUCUGUUCCUCGUCGUCUGUUUCAUUAGAACAAACUUUGACAAGCUCAAGACAUGACAAUUUCUCCAGGAAAUGUUUCAUGUGUUCCAACUCUUUUUUAGUUCCGCUGUACUCGGUUAUCUCUACGGUCUUCACAAGACAUGACUCUAGAAAAGAAUACUCUGACAAGCACUCACAAAUAGAUUCAUCAUCGUCAGACUCCGACUCAUCCUCAUAAUAGUUCACCUCAUCAGACUCAUAUUCAUCGCCCAACUGAUAAUUAUAGUGCAAGGGACCCUGUAACAAGAUGGAGAAUUAGAGAUCGGAGACUUCAUUAGGUGUGGUAUAACUGAAAUGUUUUGGAUCCAUACCUCAAUGACGAGAGUCUCUAGGUUUGGAGACUUCUUCAGCAGAUAUGGCAGAGCUCUCCAACAGAAUUUACGUUCAGUUGCAAUAGACAAAUGAUGCAAGUUUUCAAACACUGGGAUUGCUUCAUGGGAGAAAUAAAACGCCUGAACAAAACAAAAUCAAAACAAUCAAAAGCUCAUUGGUUUCUAAAUACCUAGUAGAGAAGAAAAGAAUUAGAGCACACUUACAUCCACAGUAUCGGUACAUGUUAAGUUCAAGGUCUCAACAUUUCUUAACCCCUUGAUCAGAUUAGUUACGCUUGGAAUAGUAUCACCAUGACGUGCAUAUUCUCUCGUCCAGGCGUGAUGUAGUGGCAACUUAAGACCGACAGUAGCUUCGACAAGGGAGUCGAGAUUAACCAUCGGAUAGGAUUGCGGAGCAAAAUCAUAGUACUUCAAGUUGGUAAGACUCGGAGUAUCAAAAGUAAUGCCCUCCAUAUCAUAAUAAAUAUUACCAAUAUAAGCAAAGUAAUAUCUGUGGUUGAUAGUAAGUCUCUCCAGGGUCGGACUAGACACUCUGCAAGACCAUUCCCACUGCUCCCACUCCACAUUAAGAAUCCCUAACUCCACAAGCACAGGGCAAGAAGAAAUAAGCUUUUGGAACGCACAACCAGAUUGAUCAGAGAAUCGAACUGAAUCAAUAGUGAGAGUCUUAAGCGCUGGAAGAAGAGCAUUCUCAGGGACAAGAUCAAUUUGCAAAAUAGACCCUAGUUCAAGCUCAACAAGAGUCUUGCAAGUGAAGAUUUCAACAGGUAGUGAAUAUCCUCCGUUGAGGGUAACCCAUAUAUCAAGUUUAAGCUUCAAGACACCACGCUUCAGCACAUUACAGAGAAAACGGUUGAGAUCAGCAUGACGAUUUGGUCCAUCACGCCCGCGACAUUUUAUAGAGACGUUCUUUAUGCGGGAACUGGCCGGAAGAGCCAGCAAUCCAUUCAAGAAAUCCUUCAAACUACCUUGAUUCUCAAGUGUGUUAUCAAACUCAAGGUUUGGUAUGAUGGUAUAGAGAUUUUGCCAUCUCUUUGAGAGAACCGAUGCGACAGUCGCCUCCUUUGCCGAAAGAAAGGAUACAAUGUGACAUAUGAUUUCAUUCGAUAGAUUGCUGAUCCUAUCCAUCUCUUUGCUCAACUAAUUGGAAGAGAGUUCUCGAUCUACAAACAUAGAAACGUCACUAUACGAUUCUGUGGAAACAAAAAUAGUUUGAAAGUGGAGAUAUAUACCGAAGAUAUGAGGAGAAAAAGCAGUACCAAUUAUGUGAAACUAAGAAACCACGAUUAGAAAUUUUCACAAAUACCUUACUACGGGAGAGGCGAGAAGGCAGAAGAGAAGUCCCAAACUUUGACUUUGAGAGGACUACGUACAAACGCAGCCGGAACGACUUUAUAUUAGGGGUUUAGGGUAACUUGGGAAAAAACCAAAAACGAGAAUUUAGGGUUUUGGAAAGUAAAUCUCUGUUCGGUUUACUUUAUUAGGGUAACUUGGGGGAAAAACAAUAACAAAAAUUUAGGGCUUUAGAAAGUAAAGGUGCUCUGUUUACUUUAUAACUGGUUUCAUUUGACCAGUUUUAAGAACCAAAAAUAAAAUAAGCCACACCGAACCAAAUCAAAUCAUCCCAUAGACUUAAAUUCCACAAUCGAAGGCAGUUGAUGAUGAACUCGGUACCAAGGUAGAGCAUGAAUGUUUUGUUUGAGGAACAGAGCAAAAUCGUUUGACCAAUGGUACAGUCUAGUGUGAAUGUUGGUCUAUUUCUUCUGAUUCUUUAACGUUACCAAUUUAAUUCGGUAAACCAGGACAACUUGAGUUUACGACAGUAUAAGGCAAAACCCCCACCAACCUUUAGAAGCAGAUAGGGAGAGAGAUAAAAGAGAGCUUUGAGAAGAAAGCAAGCUAGUUUGAAGAGUUCAAAUAUCUGCAACAUUUCAAUGACUUCGAGGUAGAGGACCAUUGUCUUCAACAUAUAUACUCUAUAUCAUUUCCAUCUACCUGUGUUCCUCAGGAACACUUGAAUCUCUAACGUCUUCACUGGACAAGAUAUGAGUGAAACAACUAUGUCCAGUAACAUAUGUAUAAACUAUUAACCAUGUGGGCAAUGGUUUUUUUAAUACACAAGUGACACAAGGUUUGUAAUAGAGAGAAGGAGACUACGAGCCUAGCAGCUUCUUCCACCUGGCGUAACCAAGGGUGACCAUGAAAAGCACAAUGCAAAGUGCAGUAACACUCCACACAAAGUAACCAAAGAUGCCGUGUGUGUUAUACAAUGGACAUGGUAUGUUCAUUCCGAACAAGCUGGCCAACAAAGUCUCUGCGGCUAUUGCAAACGAUGCUAUGGUCAGCGUCAGCUGCAGCUGGAUCAGUUCGUUUCGUUGAUUGUCCAGUUGUAUGUUCACGUAGUCUUCUGUGUCGUCAAUGUACUCCCUCACUGUAAGAAUCUUGUUCCGCAUCCCCUCCAGUUGCAUGAAGUAUGCCUCCAGCAACAUCUCCAGAUCUUCCACGUCAUCUUCCUCUGUACUGCUCGUCACCAUACUCGCGCUUCUGUUUGAUGUGAGCCGGUGAAGAUUUGAUGUAUUAUGUGCUGGGGCGACAAUGCUGUUUGAUGCUGUCCCCGCAAGUAUUGCCUCGGUUUGCUGGUUCUGGAUCCAUUUCCUUGUUAAGUAUAAGUCUGCCAUGUCUUCGUUGUCAUCUAACAAAUGUUCGAGUUCAUCUCUCACCUGAAUAACGUACAACGGAUUUAUAUUUCCAUUCAUCACACAACAUCAUAGUAUCAUGGGAAAACGUAAUUUAGUCAGCAUCUACCUUCUGCACACGGGCUAACAAGCGGGUGAGAUUACUUUUCAAACUUCGUACAUAUUCAAGAUUCUCAGUGCUGACAUUCUUGGUUAGUUCAUCAAGGACAGGCCAAGCUUCUGUCUCAAGAGCAGCCACACUUUUAUCAACAAAUGAGCAGACGACCUCAAGUGCAAUCUCCAGGACCUGAAAUUCAAAAGGAAGUUCACUCUGCAAACCCUCUGCAGCUUCUGGAUCAAGAGGAGAUUGUAAAUUUGCAGAAGCUUGCAGUGCAGUUUCAGUCCCAUUCCUCUGAGGAAACUGUUGCUUUAGUCGUUCAACGAAAGGAAGAACUUCAGGACGGAGAGGAUCCAAAAGCAGCACUUCUUCUGCAGUAACUAUUGCCUUUAUGACCUCUAAAUUCACAACAAUAGCCUUCUCUCUGGCUGCAGAGCAAAAUAUUGAUUGAUUAUUAACUUUUCCUCAAGUACUCAGCAAAAAACAAGCUCAGAACUUCAGAAACACAAUGUCCAAGCUAAUUUGCAGCAAUUAUGAUCUGAUGACCUAAUCCAAGAAUUAGCAGAUCGAAAUUUUUACCGAGAAUGUUAGAAGAGUGAGAGAAGACAGGGCCAAGAAUCCUCAAAUCCCUAGCGGGAACAGAAGCGCGUUUGAUGAUUGUACUCUUAUCACACUCCACCACUUCCAUCGCACCAGUCCGAUCAAACCUCAUCCACCACCGAGCUCCACCGGUUUUCUUCUUCGCCUUCCCCGCCCCUCCCACAAUCGGUCCGCCAGCAUUAAUCGGUAGGGGAGGCGGUGGAGAUGAAGGCGCCGAUGUCUGUGCGGAGUCAUCCUUCACGGCAGAACCUUUUUUCCGGUGACGGAUGCUCGUAAGACGGCGAAAGGAUAAGGGGCCCUUCCCCAUCGAUUCCAGCCACGAAAACGAUAAUUGUUCCAAGCAAUUUCUUCUUCGCAGGUCAGAGAUCUAGUGGUGGCUGAAGGAGAAAGCGCCGACCUCUGCCGCUUCUUCUUCGCUUUCUCCAAUUCCGCUGAAUCCUUCCUCUGCCAUAAACGUCAGUGAGCAAUAGGGUUCGAUUUUGUAAUUGAACUUUUUUACGGCGAAAUUGCUAAAGUGAUGUAUUCUUUUUUUUUUUUGAGCUUUUUUUUUUUCUUUUCUCAUAAGUAUUUCACUUUAUUAACCCACCAAAGGGGAAACAAGGCCUUAAAGCCUACAACGAUUUGUGCAGAAAUAAAAGUGAGGCCCAACAUAGCCUACUAGAUUAACAUCUACGGCAUAAAGAUGUUUGACAUUGGACUCUAUCCAAUACAGGUGUCGACAUGAGAUUACAACUGCAACACAUGAUGAAGAGUCAUCGGAAGUGUACCGACAUCAACCUUCGCCGCCGAAGAAUACCAAAUCCGGUGAGGAAAACAUCGCCAAAACAUGGCACGAAGUAUCCUUGUUACCACCGAAAUAAAUCUGAACGGUGCUCCAAUUAAAAGACACGGCAUAAGGGAAUCGUAAUAAGCAUCGGAAUAUUCUUCAAUCUUUCAACCCCAAGACAUAAUCUCUUAAAAGAUUUUCUGCAAAUCGAAGUUUCUAAAAACACAGGACA
rnacentral:lncRNA from 1 species